rnacentral:tRNA from 1 species
GCGGGUGUGAUCUAGGGGUUAUGAUUAAGGCCUUCCAAGCCUUCUGCCCGGGUUCAAAUCCCGGCGCCCGCA